rnacentral:rRNA from 1 species
UACGGGGGGGGCAAGCGUUGUUCGGAAUUACUGGGCGUAAAGGGUCUGUAGGUGGCCAACUAAGUCAGACGUGAAAUCCCUCAGCUUAACUGGGGAACUGCGUCUGAUACUGGUUGGCUUGAGUGCAGGAGAGGAAUGCGGAAUUCCAGGUGUAGCGGUGAAAUGCGUAGAUAUCUGGAGGAACACCGGUGGCGAAGGCGGCAUUCUGGACUGCAACUGACACUGAGGUGCGAAAGCGUGGGGAGCAAACAGG